CUCUCGUAUAAGGGUGAGACCUGAUGCCGAGCCGAUUGUGGUGAAGUGGAUGAUCCUAUGCUGUCGAGAAAAGCCUCUAGCGAGUUUCAUGGCGGCCCGUACCCUAAACCGACUCAGGUGGUCAGGUAGAGAAUACCGAGGCGUUCGGGUGAACUAUGGUUAAGGAACUCGGCAAAAUGCCCCCGUAACUUCGGAGAAGGGGGCCACACCUGGUGAGAACACUUGCUGUUC
rnacentral:rRNA from 1 species